rnacentral:lncRNA from 1 species
GCUUCUCUGAAACAUGGCUGCGGGGCUGGGCCACGGGGCCUUCCUCCUGCGAAGUUUUCCUUAGGAUGUUCGGAACUUCAGCGGGAACCACCGUGUGCGAUUCCUGUCGACCUUAAAUGCCGACUCUGCGGAAAGGUUUCCCGGACAGGCCAGCCUCUUUUCCACGGCCAUCCCUGGGGGCAGGUGCUUGCCGGGAUUCUGUAUCCGCUUAACAAACUGAAUAUGGUGAAAACAAGCACCUAGGGCAACCUAGAAACUGAAAGAAAAGGAUAGGGAGAGACUAUCUUACGCAUCGAAAGCCUGGAGGCUAGAAGACUAGGAUGAAGCAAGAGGUUGCUACAAGAAGACUUCUCCAAGGUGUGGGACCUCGCAUCAGCGAGAACAGGGACUGCAAAGGACACCUUCUCCCUCCCUAAAGCUUGGAAGCCCACACUGACCAUGAUGGAAAGGCAGAACGUGAUUACAACUUGAUCUCUUCGCCUUGAACUUGGAAGUAACAGCUUGCCCUGCCAGUUCUCUGAAGCGGCUGGUGCUGCAGGGGAGGGAGGGGGUCCUCGUCUUCUCCCUGCAUGAGAACAGCAGGUAUCGGGUACCCCGCUGCGGGAGGCCCACAACUGAGUUCCAAUGAAGGAGCCCCCAAAGCAAACAGUCUAAAGCUCCGGACCUUCCUAAAACCACUUUGCCACCCGACUAAAGCCAGAUGGCCUGAAUGUAUUCCAAGUCGUCUCCUUGUGCGGAAAAUCCCUUAAGAUUCAAAUUUCAGAGUCCUGGGCCCGGACUCAGACCUACUAAAUUAGCUUUUCGGGGGGUGGGCCCUGGACAUUUGCAUUUUGCAGAUUUAGGGGAUUCUGAGGCAUCCUAGAGUUUAGGAAACGCUGGAUUUGAGAACUAAAGACUUAAACUCUUUCUCAGAAAAAUUUGGCCCGGUGCGAUCAUAAACGUCUUUAGACCAGUAUUUUUCUCAAGCUCCCUUUUGCUACGAUGUUAACCAGGCCCUGGGGAGGUGCAGGUUCAUUACAGAACACAAGAUCUGUUCACAGAAGGUGGCAUCCCGUUCAUCUAAAUGCCUCUGACUUGCUAAUCCUGCUGUUGGCGGCUUAAUAGUUUGCUCUGAACAAAAGGAGCAGAGACAGCAGGUGAAUCUGAUUUGUGCUUGCAGUUGCCAUGGCAACGGCAGGCAGCCGAAAUCGCUGGCUAGAAAGGACCCCCUCCCAGGCCAUCCCUCCGUUCCAUUGUGAAAGCUCCGGCUCUGCUCGCCUCAGACUGGAAAUCUGGCCUCCUUGGGGCAGGGUUGAUAAAUGUGUAUUCCCAAAAGAAGUAAAUAGGAAAUCGUGCUUUCCUACCGCUCUGUUUUCUUCUCUUACGUGUCUUCCAAAAGCAUCUCAGCAUAACCCAAACAGGAUGGAAAUUCUUCUCAUCUCCUGGCAUAAAUCUCAUCUUGCCUCCUGCUUGCUGGGGAAUAGGAGGAGACUCAGAGUCCUCUAUGUGUGGCUUAUUCCAACAGUCCCUGCUGACGGACAUUUGCCCUGUUUCCAGACUUCUGCUGUUACAAUAGAGUCACAAAGAAUUAAAACAGAGAGAGAAUUU